rnacentral:rRNA from 1 species
GCAAGUCGAACGAUGAAGCCUUAGCUUGCUAAGGUGGAUUAGUGGCGCACGGGUGAGUCAUAUAUAGAUAAUGUGCCUCUUAAUCUGGGAUAGCCAUUGGAAACGAUGAUUAAUACUAGAUACUCCUUCUUACUCUAAUGUAAGUUGGGAAAGUUUUUCGCUAAGAGAUGAGUCUAUGUCGCAUCAGUUAGUUGGUGGGGUAAUGGCCUACCAAGACAAUGACGCGUAGCGGGUCUGAGAGGAUGAUC